rnacentral:tRNA from 1 species
GGUGCGAUAAUAUUAAACCUGCUAAAUUUAACUUCUGAUAUUAACCCAUCAGCCGCAUCA